rnacentral:tRNA from 1 species
GAGGGUAUAGCUCAGUGGUAGAGUGUGUGCUUAGCACGCAAGAAGGUCCUGGGUUCAAUCCCCAGUACCUCCA